GGUGGCUUAAGUGGUUAGAGCAUCCGCAUUGGAUGUGGGAGGUUGUGGGUUCAAUAACUAUCUGAAUCA